UUUGACAUCAGCACAGCCUCGAAAGGGGGGGGAUGGGAGAGCAGGCAGAAAGCAGAAAAACCAGCUUUGAACUCUGCGUGCAAGGCCUCCUGAGCCACAGGCCCCGAGAAAGACUACUUCCAAACUGGAGCACUGUCGGCUGUUGGCGAGAUGAUUUCUCUACAAAAACGAUGUUACUGCUAGGUCCAAAGGGAAGCAAAUAUGAAAAUGGAAGGGAUAUCUGGCAGAAUGAAAGAUGCUUCACCUCAUAGACAAAUAAACAUUUCUCACAGCUAAAGCAGUCACAUCAGCUGCUGCAAAGGGGCUGCAGAGAGGAUGCCUGGGAAGAGGGAACGUUCUUUAGUGGCCCAGGAGGCUUCUUGUCUGGAAAUGGAGCAACACAUGCCCCAACCUGUCACAGAGAGGCACAAAUUCAUAAUGACUCUGCUACCCUGCUGAGUUCAAACCCAAAGUGCAGAACCCUGGCAGGAUGCCACUAAACCGGGUCCCAACAAGACCAAAUGCAAGCAGUUGCAGCUAUUGUUCCUCUCAGAACACAUCUGUCUAUCAACUGUAAACCGGGAAGACCCCUUGGCUGACACAGCAGAGCCACUUACAAGACUUACAAAGCCACUUAGGAGACUAAGCCUGGGGCAACCACUGGGCUUGACCGACUUGGGGGGGGGCAAGGGUCUCUCUCCCAGGCUAGUGUCGUCAGUGCACUGCAAGAACAUGUCAAACAGGCAAUAGAGAGCCCCUGGCUACACUUGGUUUUAUGUCUCUUCCUGGCAGUGCAAAACUAAGAGGGGCAUGCUUCCAAACCACAUCAAGCACAACACUGCCCUGGCCAUGAAGCAGACCCCUCUACAGCUGGCAGAUGCUUCCAGUCGCCAUGUGUCUCCAGUGCUAGAGCCUUCUGCACUGCUUCUCAACAUUUUCCAGGCCUCCUAGUCUGGGGCUGCAUUCUGAAGGGCUGGAACUAAUGCCAAGAUGGUGGCUGUCAGCUCAGCACAGCAGGCCUCCUACAGGAAAAGUAGCCAGUGGAGCUGUAUGUAGCUUUCUGUGUAGAUUCUGGGUAUAGAAUCUUUGUACUACAUGAACGACCUGAAAAGGCUUUAGGUGCUGUAGGAAGUCUUACAGCUAGUGGUAACCCGCCCACCGGGGCGUGGCCUCUUGUACUAUAUAUGCUGAUGCAGACAGAGCAUGCGUCCGGCCUCUUUUCCCCCUCCUCUCAUUCUGUUCUGUUCUGGUUCUCCGUUCCCACAGAGGAUUCUUACUUGUGACUGUACCCCUAAAUAAAUAACCAUCUAUUUCUCAAUUCUGAGCUAGUGUGGGAUUUCUUUUAAGCGACCUUUUAAGGCUGUAUUCC